rnacentral:rRNA from 1 species
UACGAAGGGGCUAGCGUUGCUCGGAAUUACUGGGGCGUAAAGGCGCGUAGGCGGCCUGCUAAGUCGAACGUGAAAUCCCUGGGCUCAACCCCAGGAACUGCGUCCGAUACUGGUUGGCUUGAAUCCGGGAGAGGGAUGUGGAAUUCCAGGUGUAGCGGUGAAAUGCGUAGAUAUCUGGAGGAACACCGGUGGCGAAGGCGACAUCCUGGACCGGUAUUCGACGCUGAGGCGCGAAAGCCAGGGGAGCAAACGGG